rnacentral:rRNA from 1 species
GACAUAGGUCGCAAACGUUAUCCGGAAUUAUUGGGCGUAAAGGAUGCGUAGAUGGUUCAAUAAGUUACUGGUGGGAAAUCGAGGCUCAACCUCGUGGAAGUCAGUAAUACUGUUGAACUUGAGUGCAGGAGAGGUUAACGGAACUUUAUGUGGAGCGGUAAAAUGCGUAGAUAUAUGAAAGAACAUCAAUAUGGCGAAGGCAGUUAACUAUUCUGUUGCUGACGUUGAGGCAUGAAAGCGUGGGGAGCAAAACGG